rnacentral:lncRNA from 1 species
GCGGCCAUUUUGGAAUUUCUAAAUAUUGUCUUGACAUCUAGGCAUACCAAGGAACAUUUCCAUAAAGUUUCAUCCAGCUAGGUCUUAUAAUGAAAGAUUUAGAAUUUUGAAAAUUUUUUCACUUUUUUGCAGUUUCCAUGGAAACGGCGGCCAUUUAAAAAAAUUCCAGAGUCAGAUGCACAACUUCACAUGGGGGUCCUCAUUAUGUUAUAGUUCCAACAUUAUUGGAUCACUCAAUUCUUAGAAACACGAUGGACAAAAUGUGUGGAAGAAUAAUAAAAAUAAGAAAAAAAAGAAACGUAGAAUAACAAUACGUCACCCCAACUCCGUUGAGGGUGCCAUAACUAGAUUUGCCAUUGCAAGCAAUAGCGGAUGGCACCCUUCCCCUAUUGCCAGGCGAGCGGCAGCCAUUU